UACGUAGGCAGCAAGCGUUGUUCGGAAUUACUGGGCGUAAAGAGUGUGUAGGCGGUGCUCUAAGUUUGGUGUGAAAUCUCCCGGCUCAACCGGGAGGCUGCAUCGAAUACUGGAAUGCUAGAGGGUGGGAGAGGUAAGCGGAAUUCCUGGUGUAGCGGUGAAAUGCGUAGAUAUCAGGAGGAACACCUGUGGUGUAGACAGCUUACUGGACCACUUCCGACGCUGAGACACGAAAGCGUGGGUAGCAAACAGG
rnacentral:rRNA from 1 species